rnacentral:lncRNA from 1 species
UAAGUAAGAGUCGGAAUUAUCAUUUCCUGUUAAGUUCCACUACCACCCAUGACUACAUGAAGCCCUCAAGCUCCCUUCCAGCAACGUCUCUGAUAUCAAAUGCCCACCAAGUUUCCCAUUCAGUAACUGCUUCAAGUCAGUAAUAAAGUGAAGAGUUGUGACUAGAUUUGCUUCAUACCAUAUCAAUCCCACUCCGGUGACCCAUUAUGUGUCAGUUUGAGCUGAUGGAUCCGAG